CACAUGCAAGUCGAGGGGCAGCAUGAUUGAAGCUUGCUUCAAUUGAUGGCGACCGGCGCACGGGUGAGUAACGCGUAUCCAACCUUCCGUACACUCAGGGAUAGCCUUUCGAAAGAAAGAUUAAUACCUGAUGGUAUGAUGAGAUUGCAUGAUAUCAUCAUUAAAGAUUCAUCGGUGUACGAUGGGGAUGCGUUCCAUUAGGUAGUAGGCGGGGUAACGGCCCACCUAGCCUACGAUGGAUAGGGGUUCUGAGAGGAAGGUCCCCCACAUUGGAACUGAGACACGGUCCAAACUCCUACGGGAGGCAGCAGUGAGGAAUAUUGGUCAAUGGACGAGAGUCUGAACCAGCCAAGUAGCGUGAAGGAUGAAGGUCCUACGGAUUGUAAACUUCUUUUAUAAGGGAAUAAAACCUCCCACGUGUGGGAGCUUGUAUGUACCUUAUGAAUAAGCAUCGGCUAACUCCGUGCCAGCAGCCGCGGUAAUACGGAGGAUGCGAGCGUUAUCCGGAUUUAUUGGGUUUAAAGGGAGCGCAGACGGGUCGUUAAGUCAGCUGUGAAAGUUUGGGGCUCAACCUUAAAAUUGCAGUUGAUACUGGCGUCCUUGAGUGCGGUUGAGGUGUGCGGAAUUCGUGGUGUAGCGGUGAAAUGCUUAGAUAUCACGAAGAACUCCGAUUGCGAAGGCAGCACACUAAGCCGUAACUGACGUUCAUGCUC
rnacentral:rRNA from 1 species